GCUAAAAUUCUUUAUUUAGAAAGAAUUGUUUUUUUAGGAAUUGGUGCGAAAGAGCGUUCCUUAUAGCUUCGGCCUGUGUGUUCGAGUUUCCCAGCUAAAAUACUACCAUUUAUACUUAGAAGGGUCCAAACGCUUCUAGGACGUUGCAGGUUCUAGGAUAAUUUUUAGAAUCCGCUUCCAUGAAUUUUUUUUCCAAGCUCAAAGUCUUAUUACAUUUUUUAUUUAUCCAUUGUGAACAAUAUGGAUUCACUGGAAACGAAUGGGAUUCACGUGCAUUGGCAAUUUGGCUGAAACUCCUUCAACUCGUCUGUUUCUUCAGUCACACAGAUAGUUGUGAGUCUCGCAGAUACAUUGGAGGAAUCUUUUACAAAUUAAGAUGGAAGUCCCUAAGAAGUAGAAAUGGAUGGAACCGGCGGUAUGGAACCCAGAAAAUCGACCAUAUUUCAGUUGACUAUUCCUUAUGGCACGUUUGAGAAAACCCAUUUCAGAAUUACAGAAUCUCUUCAAAUUAUUAGAAUUUAAUCAAAGUAGUUAUGGAAAAGGUAAUCAAUUUUGCUAUUACAUUUACGAAUAUCCGUGGUACACUGAAGGUUUUGCGACGCUUGUGCUUUCAAUCGGAUUUCUUGGAGCUACGUUUGUGUCGUUAGGACUUUCGUUCUAUCUCGCCCAUUUUACCGUAGGC
rnacentral:lncRNA from 1 species